rnacentral:rRNA from 1 species
ACAAGGCCCCAGGCCCUACGGCGCGCAGCAGGCGCGAAAACUCCGCAAUGCGCGAAAGCGUGACGGGGGGACCCCAAGUGCCGCUGUACUUUGUACGGCGGCUUUUAGUGGAGCUUAAUGGAGCUCCCUGAAUAAGGGCUGGGUAAGUCUGGUGCCAGCCGCCGCGGUAACACCAGCAGCCCAAGUGGUGGUCGCGUUUAUUGGGCCUAAAGCGCUCGUAGCCGGGCCGGUAAGUCCCUUGUGUAAUCGUACGGCCUAACCGUUUGGCUUGCAAGGGAUACUGUUGGCCUUGGGGUCGGAAGAGGUUGGAGGUACUUCGGGGGUAGCGGUGAUAAUGCUGUAAUCCCCGGGGGACCACCAGUGGCGAAGGCGUCCGACCAGAACGAACCCGACGGUGAGGGGCGAAAGCUUGGGGAGCGAACGGGAUUAGAUACCCCGGUAGUCCAAGCCGUAAAGCAUGCGGGCCAGGUGUAGAGCGUCCCUAGAGGGCGUCUCGGUGCCGUAGGGAAGCCGUUAAGCCCGCCGCCUGGGAAGUACGUUCGCUAUGCUGAACUUAAAGAAAUUUGGCGGGGGAGCACCACAAGGGGUUGGACCUGCGGUUCAAUUGGAUUCUACGCCGGACAACUCACCAGGGGCGACAGUUGGUUGAAGGCCAGGUUGACGACCUUGCCGGACUAGCUGAGAGGUGGUGCAUGGCCGUCGUCAGCUCGUACCGUGAGGCGUCCUGUCAAGUCAGGCAACGAGCGAGACCCUCGCCCUUAGUUGCCAUCGGUUGAUAGCCGGGCACUCUAGGGGGACCGCUGGUGCUAAACCAGAGGAAGGAGAGGGCGACGGUAGGUCCGUAUGCCCCGAAUCCCCUGGGCUACACGCGGGUCACAAUGCGCAGGACAAUGGGAUGCGACCCCGUAAGGGGGAGCCAAACCCCUAAACCUGCGCUCGGUUCGGAUCGAGGGCUGUAACUCGCCCUCGUGAAGCUGGAAUCCCUAGUAAUCGCGCGCCACUACCGUCGCGGUGAAUACGUCCCUGCUCCUUGCACACACCGCCCGUCAAGCCACUCGAGUGGGGUCUGGAUGAGGUUAGUCCAUGUUGGGCUGGUCGAAUCCA